AACGCUGGCGGCAGGCUUAAUACAUGCAAGUCGAACGGUAACAUGUCGGAGCAAUCUGAUGAUGACGAGUGGCGCACGGGUGCGUAACGCGUAUGCAACCUACCCAUAACCGGAACAUAACGUUGAGAAAUCGGCGCUAAUAUUCCAUGUGUAUAUUUUGUGGCAUCAUAGGAUAUAUAAAGAUUAAUUGGUUAUGGAUGGGCAUGCGUAUCAUUAGCUAGUUGGUAGGGUAACGGCCUACCAAGGCUGCGAUGAUUAGGGGUUCUGAGAGGAUAACCCCCCACACUGGAACUGAGACACGGUUCCUAGUACUCCUACGGGAGGCAGCAGUAGGGAAUAUUGGGCAAUGGAGGCAACUCUGACCCAGCCAUGCCGCGUGAAGGAAGACGGUCCUAUGGAUUGUAAACUUCUUUUAUCAUAGACGUAACCGCUAGGGACGUGUCCCUGCCUGCAAGUAUAUGAUGAAUAAGCAUCGGCUAACUCCGUG
rnacentral:rRNA from 1 species